GGGGGUGUAAUGGUUUCGACAGGGUCGCAGAGACUUAGGGAGCGAGCCGCGGCGGGAUACGCGUAAAAAUCCCAAACUUUAAAAUUAAACGCUAACAAUAAUAGAGUAGCUUUAGCUGCCUAAGCGCAGCUUGUCCUCCCGCGCCUACCGCACGCGCGGCUAAGGGCAUCAACAAUUGCGGUGAACGUGAACCGUGAAAGCUUUGACACGGUCACGCAUUAAUGAAGCUACUAAGCACGGCGCCUUGUCAAUGGGACGCCGCGCGAGGGAAACCUAACCAUUGACUACGCUCGUAGCCGCCUUAAGGGGAUGCUUCUUUGGACAGGAGUUCGAUUCUCCUCACCUCCACCA
rnacentral:tmRNA from 1 species